rnacentral:rRNA from 1 species
GACGAAUGCUGGCGGCGUGCUUAACACAUGCAAGUCGAACGGAAAGGCCCUGCUUGCAGGGUACUCGAGUGGCGAACGGGUGAGUAACACGUGGGUGAUCUGCCCUGCACUUCGGGAUAAGCCUGGGAAACUGGGUCUAAUACCGGAUAGGAGCCAUUUUUAGUGUGAUGGUUGGAAAGUUUUUUCGGUGUAGGAUGAGCUCGCGGCCUAUCAGCUUGUUGGUGGGGUAAUGGCCUACCAAGGCGGCGACGGGUAGCCGGCCUGAGAGGGUGGACGGCCACAUUGGGACUGAGAUACGGCCCAGACUCCUACGGGAGGCAGCAGUGGGGAAUAUUGCACAAUGGGCGCAAGCCUGAUGCAGCGACGCCGCGUGGGGGAUGACGGCCUUCGGGUUGUAAACUCCUUUCGCUAGGGACGAAGCUUUUGUGACGGUACCUAGAUAAGAAGCACCGGCUAACUACGUG